GUCGAUUAUGUCUUACAUAUGGUGGUAGUCGAUUAUUUGGAGUCGCCUUUCUGCUGCCGAAAACUACCGGUUGGUGAAUUUUCAUACACGUUUUUAGAACAGUGUUUUUGCAAAUAUAAUAGUGACCACCUUACAUACAAUACAUAAACUACAGUUAGACUUCACAGACGAGCAAGUGCAGCGGAAGAUGUGUGUUGAAGAGCUGGUUUUUAGAAACGAAGGCAAGUAUGCGCGUAUUUCUACCGCGUAUUUCUACCAUUUCAUAGAUGACAUUGAUCGUGCU